UACGUAGGGGGCAAGCGUUGUCCGGAUUUAUUGGGCGUAAAGAGCGUGUAGGCGGCCUAGUAGGUCAGCUGUGAAAACUCGAGGCUCAACCUCGAGCUGUCGGUUGAAACCACUAGGCUAGAGUCCGGAAGAGGAGAAUGGAAUUCCCGGUGUAGCGGUGAAAUGCGCAGAUAUCGGGAAGAACACCCGUGGCGAAGGCGGUUCUCUGGGCCUUACCUGACGCUCAGGUGCGAAAGCUAGGGGAGCGAACAGG
rnacentral:rRNA from 1 species